rnacentral:rRNA from 1 species
UACGAAGGGGGGCUAGCGUUGCUCGGAAUUACUGGGCGUAAAGGGAGCGUAGGCGGAUAUUUAAGUCGGGGGGUGAAAGCCCAGGGCUCAACCCUGGAACUGCCUUCGAUACUGGAUAUCUAGAGUAUGGGGAGAGGUGUGUGGAACUCCGAGUGUAGAGGUGAAAUUCGUAGAUAUUCGCAAGAACACCGGUGGCGAAGGCGGAUCUCUGGGCCUUACCUGACGCUGAGGCGCGAAAGCUAGGGGAGCAAACAGG